UACGUAGGGUGCGAGCGUGUCCGGAAUUACUGGGCGUAAAGAGCUCGUAGGUGGUUUGUCGCGUUGUUCGUGAAAACUCACAGCUCAACUGUGGGCGUGCGGGCGAUACGGGCAGACUGGAGUACUGCAGGGGAGACUGGAAUUCCUGGUGUAGCGGUGGAAUGACGCAGAUAUCAGGAGGAACACCGGUGGCGAAGGCGGGUCUCUGGGCAGUAACUGACGCUGGAGGAGCGAAAAGCGUGGGGAGCGAACAGG
rnacentral:rRNA from 1 species